rnacentral:rRNA from 1 species
GAGCCGAAGCCAGUCGAAGAUACCAGCUGGCUGCAACUGUUUAUUAAAAACACAGCACUGUGCAAACACGAAAGUGGACGUAUACGGUGUGACGCCUGCCCGGUGCCGGAAGGUUAAUUGAUGGGGUUAGCGCUUGCGCGAAGCUCUUGAUCGAAGCCCCGGUAAACGGCGGCCG